rnacentral:rRNA from 1 species
UACGGAGGGAGCUAGCGUUGUUCGGAAUUACUGGGCGUAAAGCGCACGUAGGCGGCUUUGUAAGUUAGAGGUGAAAGCCUGGGGCUCAACUCCAGAAUUGCCUUUAAGACUGCAUCGCUUGAAUCAUGGAGAGGCGAGUGGAAUUCCGAGUGUAGAGGUGAAAUUCGUAGAUAUUCGGAAGAACACCAGUGGCGAAGGCGGCUCGCUGGACAUGUAUUGACGCUGAGGUGCGAAAGCGUGGGGAGCAAACAGGG